AGUGAACGCUGGCGGUAGGCCUAACACAUGCAAGUCGAACGGCAGCACAGUAAGAGCUUGCUCUUACGGGUGGCGAGUGUCGGACGGGUGAGGAAUACAUCGGAAUCUACUUUUUCGUGGGUGAUAACGUAGGGAAACUUACGCUAAUACCGCAUACGACCUACGGGUGAAAGCAGGGGAUCUUCGGACCUUUCGCGAUUGAAUGAGCCGAUGUCGGAUUAGCUAGUUGGCGGGGUAAAGGCCCACCAAGGCGACGAUCCGUAGCUGGUCUGAGAGGAUGAUCAGCCACACUGGAACUGAGAAACGGUCCAGACUCCUACGGGAGGCAGCAGUGGGGAAUAUUGGACAAUGGGCGCAAGCCUGAUCCAGCAAUACCGCGUGGGUGAAGAAGGCCUUCGGGUUGUAAAGCCAUUUUGUUGGGAAAGAAAAGCAGCAGGUUAAUACCCCGCUGUUAUGACGGUACCCAAAGAAUAAGCACCGGCUAACUUCGUG
rnacentral:rRNA from 1 species